AGUCGAGCGGUAGCACAGAGAGCUUGCUCUCGGGUGACGAGCGGCGGACGGGUGAGUAAUGUCUGGGAAACUGCCUGAUGGAGGGGGAUAACUACUGGAAACGGUAGCUAAUACCGCAUAACGUCGCAAGACCAAAGUGGGGGACCUUCGGGCCUCAUGCCAUCAGAUGUGCCCAGAUGGGAUUAGCUGGUAGGUGGGGUAACGGCUCACCUAGGCGACGAUCCCUAGCUGGUCUGAGAGGAUGACCAGCCACACUGGAACUGAGACACGGUCCAGACUCCUACGGGAGGCAGCAGUGGGGAAUAUUGCACAAUGGGCGCAAGCCUGAUGCAGCCAUGCCGCGUGUGUGAAGAAGGCCUUCGGGUUGUAAAGCACUUUCAGCGGGGAGGAAGGCGGUGAGGUUAAUAACCUCAUCGAUUGACGUUACCCGCAGAAGAAGCACCGGCUAACUCCGUGCCAGCAGCCGCGGUAAUACGGAGGGUGCAAGCGUUAAUCGGAAUUACUGGGCGUAAAGCGCACGCAGGCGGUCUGUCAAGUCGGAUGUGAAAUCCCCGGGCUCAACCUGGGAACUGCAUUCGAAACUGGCAGGCUAGAGUCUUGUAGAGGGGGGUAGAAUUCCGGGUG
rnacentral:rRNA from 1 species